AUUGAACGCUGGCGGCAUGCUUUACACAUGCAAGUCGAACGGCAGCGGGUCCUUCGGGAUGCCGGCGAGUGGCGAACGGGUGAGUAAUGCAUCGGAACAUACCCAGUCGUGGGGGGUAACGUAGCGAAAGUUACGCUAAUACCGCAUACGUCCUGAGGGAGAAAGCGGGGGAUCGCAAGACCUCGCGCGAUUGGAGUGGCCGAUGUCAGAUUAGCUAGUUGGUGGGGUAAAGGCCCACCAAGGCGACGAUCUGUAGCGGGUCUGAGAGGAUGAUCCGCCACACUGGGACUGAGACACGGCCCAGACUCCUACGGGAGGCAGCAGUGGGGAAUUUUGGACAAUGGGGGCAACCCUGAUCCAGCCAUGCCGCGUGCGGGAAGAAGGCCUUCGGGUUGUAAACCGCUGUCGUAGGGGAGGAAGCGACCGUGAAGAACGGAAGUUGACCGAUCCUAGGAGGAAGGGCCGGCUAAUCUCGUGCCAGCCGCCGCAGUAAUAC
rnacentral:rRNA from 1 species